AGUGAACGCUGGCGGCGUGCCUAAUACAUGCAAGUCGAACGGAGUGGCGCACGGGUGAGUAAUAUAUAGCUAAUCUGCCCCUUGCUGGAGGACAACAGUUAGAAAUGACUGCUAAUACUCCAUAGCAAGGGAUGAGACUAUAUCGUAUCAGCUCGUCGGUGGGGUAACGGCCUACCGAGGGUAUGACGCGUAACUGGUCUGAGAGGAUAAUCAGUAAAAUUUGAAGUGAGACACGGACCACAAUCCUACGAGAAGCAGCAGUAGGGAGUAUUGCGCAAUGGGGGAAACCCUGACGCAGCAACGCAGCGUGGAGGAUGACACUUUUCGGAGCAUAAACUACUUUUGUAAGGGAAGCGGUACCUAACGAAUAAGCACCGGCUAACUCCGUGCCAGCAGCCGCGGUAAUAC
rnacentral:rRNA from 1 species